CCUACGGGUGGCAGCAGUGAGGAAUAUUGGUCAAUGGGCGCGAGCCUGAACCAGCCAAGUCGCGUGAGGGAAGACGGUCCUAUGGAUUGUAAACCUCUUUUGUCGAGGAGCAAAAGACGCCACGCGUGGCGUUCCGAGAGUACCCGAAGAAAAAGCAUCGGCUAACUCCGUGCCAGCAGCCGCGGUAAUACGGAGGAUGCGAGCGUUAUCCGGAUUUAUUGGGUUUAAAGGGUGCGCAGGCGGAAGAUAAAGUCAGCGGGAAAAUUGAGGGCUUCAACCUAUACGAGCAGUUGAAACUGGUUGUCUUGAGUGCGCGAGAGGUAUGCGGAAUGCGUGGUGUAGCGGUGAAAUGCAUAGAUAUCACGAAGAACUCCGAUUGCGAAGGCAGCAUACCGGAGCUCAACUGACGCUCAUGCACGAAAGUGUGGGUAUCGAACAGGAUUAGAUACCCCAGUAGUC
rnacentral:rRNA from 1 species